AUGGGUACCGAGCCCCUCAGGAUUGGAUUCCCUGUCCUGUUCUCGAUCUGCACAGGCCUGUUACUCCUCGUCUCCGCGGCUGCACGCUCUGGGCACUGGGAUAUACGGUUCCGCCGGACGUUUGGGCAGACGGAGAAUAUUAAGUGGUCUAGGCUACGUGCAGCCCUACCGCUGGUAUUGUCGGAUUAUUCGGACACCGUGUCCUGGCGGCUAUCACCGUCGGGAGAGUUCUCCGUCAACUCCACACACCAGGCACUAUGUCGGUCCCCCACCAUUCCUUGGAUUUCUCCAUUGUGGAAGCCCCCUUUGCCCUUGAAGAUCAAGAUCUUUGUUUGGCAACUCCUUAGAGAUUGCCUCCCUUUAGGGACCGAGGUGCAUAAGCGGCAAGGCCCGGGGGAUGGCAUGUGCCCCUUAUGCACGGUGCCCGAGUAUGGGACUCACACCCUAUUCUCAUGUACCGCGGCUCGGGUCCUAUGGACGUUCGUCCGUGAGGCGCUAGGGCCUGACUGGGAGGCCCCGGACCUCGCAGACUUUCCUCCAAACCAGGGCUACCCAACCUGGGCGGCAGCGUCGCUUAUUUUGGCUUAUUUUUGUGGCCUUGUCGUGGACGCUUUGGACAACGCGUAA
rnacentral:rRNA from 1 species